rnacentral:tRNA from 1 species
GGGGGUAUGGCGAAAUUGGUAGACGCUACGGACUUAAUCUUUAGAAAUCGUGAGGGUUCAAGUCCCUCUAUCCCCA